rnacentral:rRNA from 1 species
UACGGAGGAUGCAAGCGUUAUCCGGAAUUAUUGGGCGUAAAGCGUCCGCAGGUGGCAAUGUAAGUCUGCUGUCAAAGCGUCUGGCUCAACCAGAUAAAGGCAGUGGAAACUACAUAGCUAGAGUAAGGUAGGGGUAGAGGGAAUUCCUGGUGUAGCGGUGAAAUGCGUAGAGAUCAGGAAGAACACCGGUGGCGAAAGCGAUCUGCUGGACCUUAACUGACACUGAGGGACGAAAGCUAGGGGAGCGAAUGGG